UUCCGGUUGAUCCUGCCAGACCCGACUGCUAUUUGGGUGAGGAUAAGCCAUGCGAGUUGAAUGGGAAACCUAAAGUUCCCAUGGCAAACUGCUCAGUAACACAUGAUCAACUUAACCUAUAGAGAAAAAUAACCUCGGGAAACUGAGGAUAAUGUUUCAUAGCUGAAUUGGCUUGGAAAAGUUUUUCGGCGAAAGGGGUAAAAAAAUGGUUUUUAUCUGCUAUAGGAUAGGAUCGUGUUCGAUUAUGGUUGUUGGUGAGGUAAUGGCUCACCAAGCCGAUAAUCGAUAGGGGCCGUGAGAGCGGGAGCCCCGAGAUGGGUACUGAGACAACGACCCAGGCCUUACGAGGCGCAGCAGGCGCGAAACCUCCGCAAUACACGAAAGUGUGACGGGGUUACCCAAAGUGUUCAAUAGAACUGUGGUAGGUGAGUAAUGUUCCCUACUAGAAAGGAGAGGGCAAGGCUGGUGCCAGCCGCCGCGGUAAAACCAGCUCUUCAAGUGGUCGGGAUAAUUAUUGGGCUUAAAGUGUCCGUAGCCGGUUUAGUAAGUUCCUGGUAAAAUCGGGUAGCUUAACUAUCUAUAUGCUAGGAAUACUACUAUACUAGAGGGCGGGAGAGGUCUGAGGUACUACAGGGGUAGGGGUGAAAUCUUAUAAUCCUUGUUGGACCACCAGUGGCGAAGGCGUCAGACUGGAACGCGCCUGACGGUGAGGGACGAAAGCCAGGGGAGCGAACCGGAUUAGAUACCCGGGUAGUCCUGGCCGUAAACGAUGCAUACUAUGUGAUGGCACGGCCAUGAGCCGUGUCAGUGCCGUAGGGAAACCGUUAAGUGUGCCGCCUGGGAAGUACGGUCGCAAGGCUAAAACUUAAAGGAAUUGGCGGGGGAGCACCACAAGGGGUGAAGCCUGCGGUUCAAUUGGAUUCAACGCCGGA
rnacentral:rRNA from 1 species